GGGAACUGAUGCUGUAAAGAAAUCUUUAGAGGGAAUAUUUGAUGACAUUGUUCCAGAUGGCAAGAGGGAGAAAGAAGUGGUCUUACCUAGCGUCCACCAGCACAAUCCUGACUGUGACAUCUGGGUCCAUGAGUAUUUCACUCCAUCCUGGUUCUGUCUGCCUAAUAAUCAGCCAGCCCUGACGGUUGUCCGGCCGGGGGACACUGCACGGGACACCCUGGAGCUGAUUUGCAAGCUCAUUCUCUUUCCUAUUCUCUGAUCUACAUCAUUUCCCAUCAGUUUGCCAUCUGCCAUCCGAUCACCAGUCAAGUUCUGGUAUAGUAAAUGUUUCAAGAUCUACAUUUCAUGUUACAGAUGUUACUAUGAUGAUUGUUGCUAAAUGUAGUGUGUAGCUAUGUUGAUCUAUAGGUUUUGGAUGUAUGCUUAUGAUUGCAAAAACCCUUCAUUCAUACUCACUGACGCUGUUCACAUGUUUAUGACCAUGAUGUCAGUUUUAUUUCAUGCUUUCACUGUGUUGGUCUACUAUGGCUUUGCAUAUCCUAACAACUACUAGCAUUUAAGAAAUAAAAGGUCACUUUG
rnacentral:lncRNA from 1 species